rnacentral:rRNA from 1 species
UACGUAGGGGGCAAGCGUUGUCCGGAAUCACUGGGCGUAAAGCGCGCGCAGGCGGCGAUCUACGUCCGGGGUGAAAGCCCAGAGCUCAACUCUGGGACUGCCUUGGAUACGGGAUCGCUUGAGGAUCGGAGAGGCAAGGGGAAUUCCACGUGUAGCGGUGAAAUGCGCAGAUAUCAGGAGGAACACCCGUGGCGAAAGCGGCUCUCUGGGACGGUACUGACGCUGAGACGCGAAAGCGUGGGGAGCAAACAGG